GCUGGGCAUGGUGGCGCGUGCCUGUAGUCCCAGCUAUUUGGGGGGCUGAGGCAGGAGAAUCGCUUGAACCCAGGAGGUGGAGGUUGCAGUGAGCUGAGAACGUGCCACUGCACUCCAGCCUGGGCGACAGAGCGAGAUUCCGUCUCAA
rnacentral:SRP_RNA from 2 species